rnacentral:rRNA from 1 species
AAAGGAAUAGACGGGGACCCGCACAAGCAGCGGAGCAUGUGGUUUAAUUCGAAGCAACGCGAAGAACCUUACCAGGGCUUGACAUCCCCCUGAAGACACUUUAACAGGUGUUGCCUUCGGGCAGGGGAGACAGGUGGUGCAUGGUUGUCGUCAGCUCGUGUCGUGAGAUGUUGGGUUAAGUCCCGCAACGAGCGCAACCCUUGUCAUUAGUUGCCAUCAUUCAGUUGGGCACUCUAAUGAGACUGCCGGGGAUAACUCGGAGGAAGGUGGGGAUGACGUCAAAUCAUCAUGCCCCUUAUGUUCUGGGCUACACACGUGCUACAAUGGCCGGUACAGAGAGAAGCGAUGCCGCGAGGCGGAGCAAAUCCCCAAAACCGGUCCCAGUUCGGAUUGCAGGCUGAAACCCGCCUGCAUGAAGCCGGAGUUGCUAGUAAUCGCGGAUCAGAAUGCCGCGGUGAAUGCGUUCCCGGGUCUUGUACACACCGCCCGU